rnacentral:lncRNA from 1 species
CGAAUGCUGCCACUUGUUUGACUGCUGAACGGUUCGGGACAGGUAGCAUCCGUGCUUGGUUCCGGUAAAGCCAGCAAAUCUCCAAGUGAUUGGCUCCUUUUCAGUGCAUUACUUGCCGAAUUCGCUAAAGAUUCAUCAACCUCUUCUUCCUUGAUUUCCACAGAAUGAAUCACCAAAGGUUCAACCUUUUCCUCCUUGAUUUCCACAGAGUGAAUCUUCUCAGCAUCUUCUGAUCCUUUAUCUUUCGAAAUCUUCGAUACAGGAGGGUUUUCAGGAAUGACAUCAUCCACAAUAACAGGCUCUUUAUCCAAUUCUUGGCCUUUGAUAACCUUUCCAGGAGGCAAGAAUGUGG